AAAGAAAGGAAGAAAAGUGCUGGUAUUCAGUUCCUGUGAGCUCUUGCUCACUUUGAGCACUGUUCCUAUUACACAAUAAUGUGUUAUUUUGUUGAAUUUUGGCAUCCAUCUAGCUUGUCUGGUCAGGAGCCAAAAAAUUAGAGUGUGUCAGUCCACCAGUUCCUCUGCAGAGAAGCGUUCCCCUCGCCCAGCGCGUGCUCCGCGCUCCUGGCCCCGGGCCAGCAAGGGAAAUCCAUUUUACAUAAAGAACGCACAGAGCUCAAGAGCUCCGAGACUUUUUACCUACUAAAAUAACUUUAUGGACAAAUGCCAGUCUGCGAGACACAGGCGGCAGAGAACAUUUGGCACCGAAAACAAGAAACGAGGAAAUGGCUGUCAGUGCCGUCGUGGCACGUCACGUGACUUGGCAGCGCCCGCCCCAUUGGCCGGCCCCGCCGCCGAGGCAGCCGCCAUGUAAGGAGCGGAGAGCUUCGCCCCUCGCUGCAUCCUUAAAAUGGCGGACCUGCCGCGCGCCCGGCGAGGCGAGCCCAGCCCAGCCACAGCCGCACGGAUUCUUUUUUCUUCUUUUUAGUUCCCCCUCUUUUUUUUUUUUUUUUCCCCUCUUUUCCCCCCUCCUUCCCCCUCCGCUGAAGUUUUUAUAAACCUUUACAGAUUUGAGUAGAAACAGAUUUCUCGCAACUCGCUCCGCGUCUCAAUUUCACAGCUCAGCAUACACUCAGGCACUGUCAAAAGCUUGACAGCGUUCCAGGGAAAAUAUUAACUGUAAACUUUCCAACAGGAAUUGAAGGGCACGCACGGCUCCCGUCAGGAUGUCCCCUCCGCCAAGCGCGGACAAAGCCAAUGUUUUCACAGGUCCCCAAAGCUCAAAAGCCACCGCCACCCCCAAGAUGGUCCCGCUUGGGCGCAGUUAAGCGGGACGGCUCCUCUGCGGCGACGGAGCCUCGCGCUCGCAGCCCGGCCCGCGGAACACUGCAUGCUCUGGUGUAUAAAUAUUUGCCUCUGGCUAAAGUUCAAGCAGCCCCUCUGUGGCUGCCAGACACAACAGAAAACCAACAUCCAAGGGAAAGUGUUUGCUGCAGCACUGGCCAACGCAGCGCCUGCCAGCGAGGGAACCAAACCGGCCCGCGGGCGCUUAUCACCAAGUACCUGGCUGACCGCCACCCUUCCCGGGAAAUGGUUAAUGUAUUUAACGUGCCUGUCGGUAACGUAUUUAACAGACCUGCUCGCCCUUGCUUGCACUGAGGGCCUGCCAUGUGGGGUCUGUGAUGGCAGAGGGAGAACAUGUCUCUCCCAAGGGAUUAACCCUUUGCUAAGUGAAUAAUGGAAUCAUAGAACCACUUUGGUUGGAGAAGAUGCUCAAGAUAGAGUCCAACCAUUAACCCAACAGUCACUAACCCACGUCCCUAAGAACCUCAUCUCCGAGUCUUUUAAACCCCUCCAGGGAUGGUGACUCCCCCACUGCCCUGGGCAGCCUGUUCCAAUGGCCAACAGCCCUUUCCGUGAAUAAUUCUUUUCCUAAUAUCCAAUCUAAACAUCCCCUGGCACAACUUGAGGCCAUUUCCUCUUGUCCUGUCACUUGUUACUUGGGAGAAGAGACCAACACCCUCCAAGCUACAACCUCCUUUCAAGUGGUUGUAGACCGCGAGGUCUCCCCUCAAGCCUCCUGUUCUCCAGGCUGAACCCCCAGGUCCCUCAGCUGCUCCUCACAGGACUUGUGCUUCAAAUGUCACCAAUGCCACCAGUUAGCUCAGGCGCUUUCUGCCCAAUUUCAGAAGCUGGGCUGUUAUCUCAGGCUGGAACCCGCACGCUCGCACACAAAAGCUUGCAGAUGGUUUCUCCUCUGCAGAGCCAACUGCUGGGAAGAGACGACAGAAGAGCGGCCACAUACGGGAUGUCUUUCAGCAGCAAAAAUUAAUAGAUUUUGAAAUAUACAGCGCUGCUUGGUGAUGCAACGCUGUUUAAGGGAUACAAAAAUAAAUUUUCUCACCCCUCUCCCACCCUCCAAACCAAACAUUACUUAGAAUCUUCACCAAAUAAGGGUAGCAAAAUACAAGUAAUUCAACUCAUGAAUCAGCAGCUUCAGAUAUUCACAAAAUCACUGCAGAAAGAUAAAGAGAGAAGAAAGAAAAACUAUCUAGGGGAACCCUACAGGAGGCCUGGCUGUGAUCAUGGCUGUUAUCAUUGCGGUCAUCCUUGAACCAGCUUCCCAAUACACCAAUAACUGUGGUGUUAAAAUGCAGUAAACGAACAAUGCCAAGACACUGCACAUCUGACUUGUUCGUGCCGUAAAUUAAACAGGACUUUACUCUGAACAAAUGUGAAAAACUGUAUUUUGGGAAAAUGUCUCAAAGAAAGAAAGAAAGUGGAAUUAAGGAGG